GACUUGUUGUCAUGUGUAUGAUUG
rnacentral:siRNA from 1 species